rnacentral:rRNA from 1 species
UACAGAGGGUGCAAGCGUUAAUCGGAAUUACUGGGCGUAAAGCGCACGUAGGCGGCUUGGUAUGUCGGGUGUGAAAUCCCCGGGCUCAACCUGGGAACUGCAUCCGAAACUGCCCUGCUCGAGUAUGGGAGAGGGAAGUGGAAUUUCCGGUGUAGCGGUGAAAUGCGUAGAUAUCGGAAGGAACAUCAGUGGCGAAGGCGACUUCCUGGACCAAUACUGACGCUCAGGUGCGAAAGCGUGGGGAGCAAACAGG